AGCUCCAAUAGCGUAUAUUAAAGUUGUUGCAGUUAAAAAGCUCGUAGUUGGAUUUCUGGUGAAAGUGUUUGGACGGCCCAAUGGGUUUUGCUCCGAUGCAUCUUUUGCCAUUCUUGGAGGGAACUUGUCUGGCAUUAAGUUGUCGGGCUUGGGAUCUUCAUCGUUUACUGUGAAAAAAUUAGAGUGUUCAAAGCAGGCUUAUGCCGUUGAAUACAUUAGCAUGGAAUAAUAAGAUAGGACCUUUGUACUAUUUUGUUGGUUUGCGUACAUAGGUAAUGAUUAAUAGGGACAGUUGGGGGUAUUCGUAUUCAAUUGUCAGAGGUGAAAUUCUUGGAUUUAUGGAAGACGAACUACUGCGAAAGCAUUUACCAAGGAUGUUUUCAUUA
rnacentral:rRNA from 1 species